CAUAGGAGUCCAACCACGGGCCAGAAGGAUUUGUCCGCCUGACACCGAGGACAUACAAAAUGGCAGAGAAACGAAACACGCCGACAGUACACCAGCACCCAGAAGCAACUUCCCUAUCUCUGCUGGAAAAUUUCCAAGGAAUAGAGAGAGCACAGAGACUCUUAGUGGCAGCAGGACUCAGAGGCAGGGUGCAGGGGGGCUAUUGUGACAUGCUCCAGGGAAGGGCAGCUGUGCCCUUGGCUAAGGAAGGCCCGGCCCAGAGGGGCAAGGGAGCCGGCGGACAUGGAGCCGAAGAGGCAGCCCUCCCCGGCUCCGGAGGGCGGGAAGGCGGAGCCGCAGCCACAGGCUCCCGCCCAGACCAUCGAGGGCCACGGCCAGGUGCUGCUGCUGCGCGGGCUCUGGCAGCAGGAUGAGCCGUGCCUGGCCCUGCAGGACAUUCUGGAGCAGGCCCCGACAAACAGGCCCGCCGGUCCUUCGUCCAUCCGAGCCCCAAGCAGCCGCAGCAGCUCCAACAGCUGCUCCAGGCUGCGUCGCAAGCGCUCGGGCGACAGGUCUUCGAACGGCGCGGACUGCCCGGCAGCCAAGUCCAAACGCUCCGCCCAGAAGCUGCCGGAUCCCAAGCUCAGGGAUGACGCCCCGCGUGAGUGUGAGCCAGAGGCAGCUCGGGCUGUGCCCCGGGCCCCCGGGUCCGGGACCGCGGAGGAUCCGGCGUCUGGAGGCCGGGACUCGCCGCAGCCUCCGGAGCCUCCGGAGCCCGGCGCGCGGCUGCUCCUGGUGCUGUGCCGCGUGUCCGCGCUGCGCUCGCAGCUCCCGCGGCUGCAGCUGCUCCUGCAGCAGGUGCACGCCCAGCACCGCGGCCCGCCCGCCGCGCUGGUCGGGAUCGUGGUGCAGCCGCGGCGGGACGAGGAGGCCGAGGCGCGCCGCCUCAUGGAAACCCUGCUGUGCAGCGCCUUCGCGCCGCCCAGCCCCGCCGUGGAGGUGCACACGGCCGUGUUCAGCCCCAGCCGCCCCGAGGGUACCCUGGACGUCCAGCGCGCCGCCAACGGAGCACGCAAUGUCCCGGCGCGAGGCUGCGUCCACCUAGUGGAUGGACAGACUCAGACGGAUGGGCCUCCGACGCGGUCGGUCCCGCGCCCCUUCUGUUCCUGCACCACUUGCCCCGGCAGCUCUGCUUGCUGGCGUCGUCUGGGCCUGUGCCACAGCCGCAUCUUCGAUGUCCUUCUGCCUCGGGCCUGGCCGACCAUGCCAGGGAGAGGAACCCCAAGCCUCCUCACCUUCUACAGAAGACCUUCAAGAAAGCACUCCAGUCAUCGUCAUUCACGUGCUCCAAGCUCUCGGGACUGCAGCUGUGGCUCUGGGGGCCCUGGGAGCCGCCUACCACAUCAUUGAAUCCUUGUGAACAACGCCCCGGCUCUCAGUCCAGCAGCCCUCGGUACCUGCUACGUGCUGUAAAGUUUACUUCCUGCUCAUGGUCUAUCUGAUUAUUAGACCAGCCAGAAGAACCUAGAAGAGUAGAGGAAGUUCCUUCCUCCCUCACGGCACUCUGCCCCUUCCCACAAGACCACAUCCUUGAGACAAGAGGAGGCUACAGGGCAUGGAACAGUGGCCCUUGGUAUUGGGAAUCAGGAUGCAUGUUUACCUCAUGCAAACCAGCUCCCUGGAAACCUGCAGGAGAGACUCAACACACACGUCCCAGAAUCCUCCCUGGCUCUUGGCAAACGUGCCUUCUCCCACCCCCUCAGCCACAGCUGCGGGGGACGGGGUGUAGGGGGGCGCCGGAAUGCAAUGUGCCCCCUUUCCCUCCCUCCUCCUGUACUGUUCACACAGAGCAGCAAACACAGAAAGACUUCAUUCACAGGCUCCAUCGCUAGGCUCUCUAUUGAAAGCUUUCUGAAAAUGCAAAUUCCUCUGAAGUGGAUUCUUGUCAAAGGCUUUCAAGUUGCACACUCCCACUGAGAGCAGUGAAGCAGACCAAGACUUCCCUGGGCAGGAGGCUCCAUAAAACUAAUAUUUACAUUUAAAGGAGAAACUCUGAACUAGCCAGAAAGCAGAACUUGCUGCUGUGAAGUCAGGCUUGACAGCUGCAAGGUGGGAACGCAGUUUCUAGGGCCUCACUUCCUGGGGAGUGUGCCUGUGGGAAGCCCCCAUUUUUGCUGCCUGUGCCCCACCCCAACCUUGGCCUUGCCCCCUUCCGUCUUUCAUUCAGCAUGGGCCUGAGCUGGUGCUUACGUGAGUCCUGGAGGCCAGGGGCCUCAACAAGACAGACGUGCUGUCCGCCGGACCCUCAAAUCCAGCGACAUGCACAAGCCACUCCAGGAACAAAGCCCCCCCUCUCCAGGGGCCCUGGUCUGCCUGCUCCCUCACCCCACAGGACUAGGAGGUUCUAGUCCCGGUCCCUCCCCAGAGAAGAGCCCCCCCUUUGGGAUAACUUGCUCAUAAGCAUUGGGCAUUUUAAGCCUUGUCCCCACACACCCCUUCCCACACUGCCCCCAGCCCCCACCUUGGCUAUUCAAAGACUAGGCCCUUUCCACCUUCAGCCAGGUUUCCUGGGGUGCCCCUCCCUCCCCCAGAGGCUCUCCCUGGAGGAGAGGGGGUACCCUCCCCUCCCUCAGGCGGCAGAUGAGAUCCAAGCUGAGAUUACUGAAGACAGGAUUCCUCUCCUCUCACUAAGCUUUACACCCCCAACCCAGAGAUUACUUGGUUAAAACGGACAUUUUUUCCUUGAUUACACAGGAUUUGAUAACAUACCAUUGCUACCUGC